CAUUAAGGCCCGGUUCUAUCAUGAAUUGACGUGAAUAUAAAUUUUGGCUGAAAGUUGACAGGCGAAUUGAGUGACUGCUAAAUUCUAACGAGAUAUUAAGAUUCACGAUACAAGGCAUAAAAUCCCCUCAAAAACACAAAGCUUACAAUUUUUCUUUGACUGGAAAUUAAACUUGGCCAGAGGUGGUAGAAUUUGCCCUCAGAAGUCAAUUUCAUUCUAGUUGGAAAUCGAUAUUGAGAUGUGUCUUUCUCAUAAUCAUAAAAGCGCUCAUUACCCAUUACUGUGGAAUCCAAAAUCAUCAGUGAGCGUAUAAUGGGUUGAGUAGUGUUGUCAAAAACCCUACAAAGAAUUGUCUACUUGCAUUGAAUUUCAUGUAGAAUAGUCGAAAGUUCUGCCGCAUUACAAUGCUAACUUGCCCAUACGCGGCAUUAAUUUGUAAGCGUCCUAAGAUUUAGGAUGUUCCAAAGUGUUCCAACCAGCAGGUUUGAUGGUCCGACGUGAGGUUGAAUGGUUGAUUCGUAAAAAGGUUUAUUUUAUACAUGUAAAAGGUCUUCCUUCGAGUUUUCUAUUGAUAAAACAGAUCGCUCCUUUCCAAGUAUAAAAUAUUUUAGAACAAAUAACACAUUUUUUAACCCGAAUUAAGAUGCGAAUAGAAACUAAAGCUCUUCGUGUUUGUACUAACAUGGGACAGCAUUUUAAAGAAACCGCCUAAUGUAUUCUGCUCGACAGUCUAAACGGAAAUAACAUUUUAACCUAAGAGGUGAGAACUUUCAUAUGAUACUUACAAUUGCGGCUGUCAGGCCCGGAUUAACCGUAGGGACAAGUGGGCCUGUGCCCACAGCGGCAAAUUUUCGGGGGCGGCAGUAAUCGAGAAACCCUCCCCCCCCCCAAAAAAAAAAAAAAAAUGCCGCCCCUAAAAAUUUGACCGGAAAAAUAACUUAUAAAUUAGAGAGAAGACGCCGUCCAUAACAUUACGUCACUCACCUGAGGUGGAGGGGAUUAAAACUUGGAUUAAAAGCUAAAAAAUUACAGCCUCAUUUUUGGCUAAAAUUGCAUCUUACAGUGGUCAGAUUUUCCAAAUUUUUCGGGGGGGGGGGGGGGGGGCGGCCACCCCUCCGGGCGGGCAAAUUUCCGCGUGUCCACAGCGGCAAAAUCGUUAAUCCAGCCCUGGCGGCUGUAUCAUGAUCACUUCCAAUUGAUAUAACAUUUACAAUGCGUCCCCAUAAGAAUUUUGAGCUAAAUCUAAGAAAAAUAAUAUUUCCAAAUGGAAAGAAACCCUCUUAAAGUAGGAGGUAUGCUAUUUUCGAAAUUAUAAUUGCUGUCUUGAGUCAAAAUUCCUUCUGAGCAAAAUCAGAAUUUCAGACAAAGCUGAAAGAUUUGUCCUUUCCCAACGUACCUCUCGUUUACUAUCAACUUAUAUGAAUGUAUCAAUAAUAUCGGUCACUUCAAAUCCGGAAAAUCGAUAAGCGUAACUGUUCUAUAAAAACGAUCUCGUACCUUUCAAAUGAAAACGAAUUUCCAAUCUUUUGAAGAAGAGCUUGACUCUUGCUCUUGAACUAUUCCAACAGCUAAAUGUUUACUUUUUGUGAUUCCUUGAUGGUUUUCCAUUUUAUAUGUGCAUUUAUGAUUACCUUUUCAAGUCUUUGUUUUACAUAUUAAGAAUUUGAUGUAACUCUAAGUGCAAUUAUUAAUGUAGUAAAUCUAUGCCUCUUGACGUCCA
rnacentral:lncRNA from 1 species